rnacentral:rRNA from 1 species
UAAUGCAUAUGAAUCUGCCCGAUAGUGGGGGAUAACCUGGGGAAACCCAGGCUAAUACCGCAUACAUCCUACGGGAGAAAGGGGGCUCCGGCUCCCGCUAUGGGAUGAGCCUAUGUCGGAUUAGCUAGUUGGUGAGGUAACGGCUCACCAAGGCCACGAUCCGUAGCUGGUCUGAGAGGAUGAUCACCCACAUCGGGACUGAGACACGGCCCGAACUCCUACGGCAGGCAGCAGUGGGGAAUAUUGGACAAUGGGGGAAACCCUGAUCCAGCCAUGCCGCGUGUGUGAAGAAGGCCCUCGGGUUGUAAAGCACUUUCAGCGAGGAAGAACGCCUAGCGGUUAAUACCCGCUAGGACAGACAUCACUCGCAGAAUAAGCACCGGCUAACUCCCUGCCAGCAGCCGCGGUAAUACGGAGGGUGCAAGCGUUAAUCGGAAUUACUGGGCGUAAAGCGCGCGUA